GGAGGAGUGUCCGAGUGGUCGAAGGGGCACGAUUGGAAAUUGUGUAUGCGCUAAUUCCGCAUCGUGGGUUCAAAUCCUACCUCCUCCG
rnacentral:tRNA from 2 species